rnacentral:rRNA from 1 species
UACGUAGGGUGCAAGCGUUAAUCGGAAUUACUGGGCGUAAAGCGUGCGCAGGCGGCUUUGCAAGACAGAUGUGAAAUCCCCGGGCUCAACCUGGGAAUUGCAUUUGUGACUGCAUUGCUGGAGUGCGGCAGAGGGGGAUGGAAUUCCGCGUGUAGCAGUGAAAUGCGUAGAUAUGCGGAGGAACACCGAUGGCGAAGGCAAUCCCCUGGGCCUGCACUGACGCUCAUGCACGAAAGCGUGGGGAGCAAACAGG